rnacentral:lncRNA from 1 species
UAGUGUGAACGACGCACCUCCUGACCUCCAGAUAUAUUACUUUGCAGCAGGAACAAUCAAAUCGAUCAACAUAUUGGAUUGGCCUGCUUGGGACGUAGCUAGUAAGUCAGCUAGCUUGGAUUGGGGCAUAGCUAAUAAGCCUCGUGAAAUCAAUCCAGUGGCCUGCUUGGACGUAGCUGGUAAAUCAAUCCCAGCCGAAAACGUCCCAAGCACCAGCAGGAAUCUGCUAGUUAGUAAUAAAAUCGAUCAGCAAAGAUGGUAUGUUCCAAUCUUGGAGAAGUAUGGCAUAAUAUUAUUCACUUAUUUUUGUUGCCAAUGAACACUAAAUUGCCCACUUGCUAUUAACAAAACUGAGAUUACCAGGAGCAAGCCCACCUGCUCUCACGGCGCAACUUCCGCAGCCACCACGAAGCCAAGAUUGAC